AUUGAACGCUGGCGGCAUGCCUUACACAUGCAAGUCGAACGGUAACGGGUCCUUCGGGAUGCCGACGAGUGGCGAACGGGUGAGUAAUAUAUCGGAACGUGCCCAGUAGUGGGGGAUAACUGCUCGAAAGAGCAGCUAAUACCGCAUACGACCUGAGGGUGAAAGGGGGGGAUCGCAAGACCUCUCGCUAUUGGAGCGGCCGAUAUCAGAUUAGCUAGUUGGUGGGGUAAAGGCCUACCAAGGCAACGAUCUGUAGUUGGUCUGAGAGGACGACCAGCCACACUGGGACUGAGACACGGCCCAGACUCCUACGGGAGGCAGCAGUGGGGAAUUUUGGACAAUGGGCGCAAGCCUGAUCCAGCAAUGCCGCGUGCAGGAAGAAGGCCUUCGGGUUGUAAACUGCUUUUGUCAGGGAAGAAAUCUUCUGGGCUAAUACCCCGGGAGGAUGACGGUACCUGAAGAAUAAGCACCGGCUAACUACGUGCCAGCAGCCGCGGUAAUACGUAGGGUGCGAGCGUUAAUCGGAAUUACUGGGCGUAAAGCGUGCGCAGGCGGCUUUGCAAGACAGAUGUGAAAUCCCCGGGCUCAACCUGGGAACUGCAUUUGUGACUGCAAGGCUAGAGUACGGCAGAGGGGGAUGGAAUUCCGCGUGUAGCAGUGAAAUGCGUAGAUAUGCGGAGGAACACCAAUGGCGAAGGCAAUCCCCUGGGCCUGUACUGACGCUCAUGCACGAAAGCGUGGGGAGCAAACACGAUUAGAUACCCUGGUAGUCCACGCCCUAAACGAUGUCAACUGGUUGUUGGACGGCUUGCUGUUCAGUAACGAAGCUAACGCGUGAAGUUGACCGCCUGGGGAGUACGCCCGCAAGGUUGAAACUCAAAGGAAUUGACGGGGACCCGCACAAGCGGUGGAUGAUGUGGUUUAAUUCGAUGCAACGCGAAAAACCUUACCUACCCUUGACAUGUCAAGAAUUCUGCAGAGAUGUGGAAGUGCUUGAAAGAGAACUUGAACACAGGUGCUGCAUGCCCGUCGUCAGCUCGUGUCGUGAGAUGUUGGGUUAAGUCCCGCAACGAGCGCAACCCUUGUCAUUAGUUGCUACGCAGGAGCACUCUAAUGAGACUGCCGGUGACAAACCGGAGGAAGGUGGGGAUGACGUCAGGUCCUCAUGGCCCUUAUGGGUAGGGCUACACACGUCAUACAAUGGCCGGUACAGAGGGCUGCCAACCCGCGAGGGGGAGCCAAUCCCAGAAACCCGGUCGUAGUCCGGAUGGUAGUCUGCAAUUCGGUUGCGUGAAGUCGGAAUCGCUAGUAAUCGCGGAUCAGCUUGCCGCGGUGAAUACGUUCCCGGGUCU
rnacentral:rRNA from 1 species